GAGCCCCUCAGUCUCUGCCCGCCUGUGACAGCUGUGCAGAGCCCGCCUGUGACUCUGUCCUUGUGUCCUGGGCUCCCUGUCUUCGGAGCAGGACUGGAGUGUGAGAGGGUGUCUGCCCCUCCUGUCGUCUGUCCCUUUCCUUCUAAGGCCCGAGGAGGAAGGCAUGCUGCGGGCUCUCGCCCUCCUUCUAGCUUUCCUGGCUCCUGCCACUCAGGUAUCUUCCAACUUGGAAGGGACACAGAAGCCAAUCAUCCGACAGGCUGGGUCAUCUGUUCAAUUCACUUGUGAUAUUAAACAAAGUGUAACCUACGUCCACUGGUACCGAUACCAGGAGGGGAUAGCCCUACAACGACUUGUGUACUACCAUUACCAAUACUCAAGGUUGAUGACAGAUCCGGGAAUUAGUUCAGGGAAAUACCAUACUUUUGGAGGCACAGACAAGAACCGUAAUAUUGAAGUCCGAAGUCUGGAAGAAAGGGAUUCUGGUGUGUAUUACUGUGCUGUCUGGGAUACCUCAGGCUGGAUCAAGACAUUUGGAAGAGGAACUAAACUCAUAGUAACUCCCUCAGAUGUACGCCUUCCUGCAGACAUUUCCCCUAAACCCACCAUUUUUCUUCCUUCAAUUGCUGAAAUAAAGCUCCAUAAGGCUGGAACAUAUCUUUGUCUUCUUGAGAAAUUCUUCCCUGAGGUUAUUAAGAUCUAUUGGAAAGAAAAGGAUGGCAAUACAAUCCCGCAAUCCCAGCAGGGAAAUACCAUGAAGACUGAUAACACUUACAUGAAAUUCAGCUGGCUGACCGUGACUGGAAAGUCAAUGGAUAAAGAACACAAAUGUGUUGUCCAACACGAGAAAAAUAAAGACGGGGUUGACCAAGAGAUUCUUUUCCCAUCAGUGAAUGAAGUUCUCAACUCAAGUCUCCCUGAUACUCCUUCUACAGAAGCUUCCCCAGUAAAGGAACGUGAGUCCUCUGCUACUAAUACCACAAAACGUUGUCGGAAAGAUGAAAGCAACACUGUGCAGAUGCAGCUCACCAGCAUCUCUGCCUAUUACACCUACCUCCUCCUACUCGUCAAGAGCGCGGUCUACCUUGCCAUCAUUGCCCUCUGCCUGUUUAGGAGAGCAGCGGUCUGUGGUGAUGGAAAGAGUUCGUAACAGAUGGUGGCACAAUGAAGUCAACAUUUAUUCAUCAUUUUUUUGUCCCUGGAAUUGUCUCCUGAGCAUCAAGCUGGGCUUUCUCUCUGGGUUAGUGUUAUGUCAGUUCACAUGUGUACUUUUCUGUUAUGCCAUUAUUUUGUGAUGGUUUUUCAAACCGCUUGAAACAGAAACAUUUUUUCUGUAACAGCAAUGAAUUCUGCCAUUACUUAGUGGCAGGGCCCCAGGUCGUCCUUUAGCACCACUAUCUGAAUGAUCUCCAUCAGCUCCUCCAGCAACCCGAAUAACCAUGCCUUCCGAGUAGAGACGGCAUGCAGCUCUAGUCACAUCCUGUAGGGCCACGUGACCAGAUGACCACCUUGAACCCUUCCAUUUUACACAUCCUGAAGCCACCAUCGCUGUUAGUUGAAUUCCAUAUUUUGUUUUUCAUUAUAGGCACAAUAAAAAAAAGCCAAAAGUCUA